rnacentral:rRNA from 1 species
AGUGAACGCUGGCGGUAGGCCUAACACAUGCAAGUCGAACGGCAGCACAGUAAGAGCUUGCUCUUACGGGUGGCGAGUGGCGGACGGGUGAGGAAUACAUCGGAAUCUACUUUUUCGUGGGGGAUAACGUAGGGAAACUUACGCUAAUACCGCAUACGACCUACGGGUGAAAGCAGGGGAUCUUCAGACCUUGCGCGAUUGAAUGAGCCGAUGUCGGAUUAGCUAGUUGGCGGGGUAAAGGCCCACCAAGGCGACGAUCCGUAGCUGGUCUGAGAGGAUGAUCAGCCACACUGGAACUGAGACACGGUCCAGACUCCUACGGGAGGCAGCAGUGGGGAAUAUUGGACAAUGGGCGCAAGCCUGAUCCAGCCAUACCGCGUGGGUGAAGAAGGCCUUCGGGUUGUAAAGUCCUUUUGUUGGGAAAGAAAAGCAGCAGGUUAAUACCCCGCUGUUCUGACGGUACCCAAAGAAUAAGCACCGGCUAACUUCGUG